CCAGACUCCUACGGGAGGCAGCAGUAGGGAAUAUUGCUCAAUGGGGGAAACCCUGAAGCAGCAACGCCGCGUGAAGGAAGAAGGCUUUCGGGUUGUAAACUUCUUUUCUGAGGGACGAAGCAAGUGACGGUACCUUAGGAAUAAGCCACGGCUAACUACGUGCCAGCAGCCGCGGUAAUACGUAGGUGGCAAGCGUUAUCCGGAUUUACUGGGUGUAAAGGGCGUGUAGGCGGGAAAGCAAGUCAGAUGUGAAAACCACGGGCUCAACCUGUGGCCUGCAUUUGAAACUGUUUUUCUUGAGUACCGGAGAGGUCAUCGGAAUUCCUUGUGUAGCGGUGAAAUGCGUAGAUAUAAGGAAGAACACCAGUGGCGAAGGCGGAUGACUGGACGGCAACUGACGGUGAGGCGCGAAAGCGUGGGGAGCAAACAGGAUUAGAUACCCUCGUACGC
rnacentral:rRNA from 1 species